AUCGUAUUCGAAACGACUCUCGGCAACGGAUAUCUCGGCUCUCGCAUCGAUGAAGAACGUAGCGAAAUGCGAUACUUGGUGUGAAUUGCAGAAUCCCGUGAACCAUCGAGUUUUUGAACGCAAGUUGCGCCCGAAGCCGUCAGGCCGAGGGCACGCCUGCC
rnacentral:rRNA from 1 species